CUACGGGUGGCUCCAGUGAGGAAUUUUGCGCAAUGGGGGAAACCCUGACGCAGCAACGCCGCGUGAGCGAAGAAGGCCUUCGGGUCGUAAAGCUCUGUCAAGUGGGAAAAAAGCCUUUUGAUUAAUACCCAAAAGGUUUGAUGGUACCACUGGAGGAAGCACCGGCUAACUCCGUGCCAGCAGCCGCGGUAAUACGGAGGGUGCAAGCGUUGUUCGGAUUUACUGGGCGUAAAGGGCGUGCAGGCGGUUUGGCAAGUCAGAUGUGAAAGCCCUGGGCUUAACCCGGGAAGUGCAUUUGAAACUGCCUUUCUUGAGUAUGGGAGAGGAGAGUGGAAUUCCCAGUGUAGAGGUGAAAUUCGUAGAUAUGGGGAGGAACACCCGUGGCGAAGGCGACUCUCUGGACCAAUACUGACGCUGAGACGCGAAAGCGUGGGGAGCAAACAGGAUUAGAUACCCCAGUAGUC
rnacentral:rRNA from 1 species